GGGUUGUGAGGUUAAGCGACUAAGCGUACACGGUGGAUGCCCUGGCAGUCAGAGGCGAUGAAGGACGUGCUAAUCUGCGAAAAGCGUCGGUAAGGUGAUAUGAACCGUUACAGCCGGCGAUGUCCGAAUGGGGAAACCCAGUGCAAUUCGUUGCACUAUCGUUUGAUGAAUACAUAGUCAAACGAGGCGAACCGGGGGAACUGAAACAUCUAAGUACCCCGAGGAAAAGAAAUCAACCGAGAUUCCCCCAGUAGCGGCGAGCGAACGGGGAGCAGCCCGGAGUCUGAAUCAGCUUGUGUGUUAGUGGAAGCGUCUGGAAAGUCGCAGGGUACAGGGUGAUACUCCCGUACACUAAAGCACACAGGUUGUGAACUCGAAGAGUAGGGCGGGACACGUGGUAUCCUGUCUGAAUAUGGGGGGACCAUCCUCCAAGGCUAAAUACUCCUGACUGACCGAUAGUGAACCAGUACCGUGAGGGAAAGGCGAAAAGAACCCCGGCGAGGGGAGUGAAAAAGAACCUGAAACCGUGUACGUACAAGCAGUAGGAGCCCACUAGUUGGGUGACUGCGUACCUUUUGUAUAAUGGGUCAGCGACUUAUAUUCUGUAGCAAGGUUAACCGUAUAGGGGAGCCGCAGGGAAACCGAGUCUUAACUGGGCGUUAAGUUGCAGGGUAUAGACCCGAAACCCGGUGAUCUAGCCAUGGGCAGGUUGAAGGUUGGGUAACACUAAUUGGAGGACCGAACCGACUAAUGUUGAAAAAUUAGCGGAUGACUUGUGGCUGGGGGUGAAAGGCCAAUCAAACCGGGAGAUAGCUGGUUCUCCCCGAAAGCUAUUUAGGUAGCGCCUCGUGAAUUCAUCUUCGGGGGUAGAGCACUGUUUCGGCUAGGGGGUCAUCCCGACUUACCAACCCGAUGCAAACUACGAAUACCGAAGAAUGUUAUCACGGGAGACACACGGCGGGUGCUAACGUCCGUCGUGAAGAGGGAAACAACCCAGACCGCCAGCUAAGGUCCCAAAGUCAUGGUUAAGUGGGAAACGAUGUGGGAAGGCCCAGACAGCCAGGAUGUUGGCUUAGAAGCAGCCAUCAUUUAAAGAAAGCGUAAUAGCUCACUGGUCGAGUCGGCCUGCGCGGAAGAUGUAACGGGGCUAAACCAUGCACCGAAGCUGCGGCAGCGACACUAUGUGUUGUUGGGUAGGGGAGCGUUCUGUAAGCCGUUGAAGGUGGCCUGUGAGGGUUGCUGGAGGUAUCAGAAGUGCGAAUGCUGACAUAAGUAACGAUAAUGCGGGUGAAAAACCCGCACGCCGGAAGACCAAGGGUUCCUGUCCAACGUUAAUCGGGGCAGGGUGAGUCGACCCCUAAGGCGAGGCCGAAAGGCGUAGUCGAUGGGAAACAGGUUAAUAUUCCUGUACUCGGUGUUACUGCGAAGGGGGGACGGAGAAGGCUAUGUUGGCCGGGCGACGGUUGUCCCGGUUUAAGCAUGUAGGCGGAUGUUCCAGGUAAAUCCGGAACGUCACUAACGCUGAGGUGUGAUGACGAGGCACUACGGUGCUGAAGUGACAAAUGCCCUGCUUCCAGGAAAAGCCUCUAAGCAUCAGGUAACAUCAAAUCGUACCCCAAACCGACACAGGUGGUCAGGUAGAGAAUACCAAGGCGCUUGAGAGAACUCGGGUGAAGGAACUAGGCAAAAUGGUGCCGUAACUUCGGGAGAAGGCACGCUGAUGGUAGGUGAAGCGACUUGCUCGUGGAGCUGAAAUCAGUCGAAGAUACCAGCUGGCUGCAACUGUUUAUUAAAAACACAGCACUGUGCAAACACGAAAGUGGACGUAUACGGUGUGACGCCUGCCCGGUGCCGGAAGGUUAAUUGAUGGGGUUAUCCUCGCGGAGAAGCUCUUGAUCGAAGCCCCGGUAAACGGCGGCCGUAACUAUAACGGUCCUAAGGUAGCGAAAUUCCUUGUCGGGUAAGUUCCGACCUGCACGAAU
rnacentral:rRNA from 1 species